UAGGGAAUCUUCCACAAUGGGCGAAGCCUGAUGGAGCAACGCCGCGUGUGUAAUGAAGGCUUUCGGGUCGUAAAGCACUGUUGUAUGGGAAGAACAGCUAGAAUAGGAAAUGAUUUUUAGUUUGACGGUACCAUACCAGAAAGGGACGGCUAAAUACGUGCCAC
rnacentral:rRNA from 1 species